rnacentral:rRNA from 1 species
GACGAACGCUGGCGGCGUGCUUAACACAUGCAGGUCGAACGGAAAGGCCCUGCUUUUGUGGGGUGCUCGAGUGGCGAACGGGUGAGUAACACGUGAGUAACCUACCCUUGACUUUGGGAUAACUUCAGGAAACUGGGGCUAAUACCGGAUAGGAGCUCCUGCUGCAUGGUGGGGGUUGGAAAGUUUCGGCGGUUGGGGAUGGACUCGCGGCUUAUCAGCUUGUUGGUGGGGUAGUGGCUUACCAAGGCUUUGACGGGUAGCCGGCCUGAGAGGGUGACCGGCCACAUUGGGACUGAGAUACGGCCCAGACUCCUACGGGAGGCAGGAGUGGAGAAUAUUGCACAAUUGGCGGAAGCCUGAUGCAGCAACGCCGCGUGCGGGAUGACGGCCUUCGGGUUGUAAACCGCUUUCGCCUGUGACGAAGCGUGAGUGACGGUAAUGGGUAAAGAAGCACCGGCUAACUACGUG